rnacentral:misc_RNA from 1 species
GACGAAGAACGUAGCGAAAUGCGAUAAGUAAUGUGAAUUGCAGAAUUCAGUGAAUCAUCGAAUCUUUGAACGCACAUUGCGCCCCCUGGUAUUCCGGGGGGCAUGCCUGUCCGAGCGUCAUUACAACCCUCAAGCUCAGCUUGGUGUUGGGCCCCGCCGCCCCGGCGGGCCCUAAAGUCAGUGGCGGUGCCGUCCGGCUCCGAGCGUAGUAAUUCUUCUCGCUCUGGAGGUCCGGUCGUGUGCUCGCCAGCAACCCCCAAUUUUUUUCAGGUUGACCUCGGAUCAGGUAGGGAUACCCGCUGAACUUAAGCAUAUCAAUAAGCGGAGGA